rnacentral:rRNA from 1 species
UACACUCCUGCGGGAGGCAGCAGUGGGGAAUAUUGCACAAUGGGCGCAAGCCUGAUGCAGCCAUGCCGCGUGUAUGAAGAAGGCCUUCGGGUUGUAAAGUACUUUCAGCGGGGAGGAAGGCGAUAAGGUUAAUAACCUUGUUGAUUGACGUUACCCGCAGAAGAAGCACCGGCUAACUCCGUGCCAGCAGCCGCGGUAAUACGGAGGGUGCAAGCGUUAAUCGGAAUUACUGGGCGUAAAGCGCACGCAGGCGGUCUGUCAAGUCGGAUGUGAAAUCCCCGGGCUCAACCUGGGAACUGCAUUCGAAACUGGCAGGCUAGAGUCUUGUAGAGGGGGGUAGAAUUCCAGGUGUAGCGGUGAAAUGCGUAGAGAUCUGGAGGAAUACCGGUGGCGAAGGCGGCCCCCUGGACAAAGACUGACGCUCAGGUGCGAAAGCGUGGGGAGCAAACAGGAUUAGAUACCCUAGUAGUCCC